CCAACUCGACUCCGCAUACCUA
rnacentral:siRNA from 1 species